rnacentral:piRNA from 1 species
CUUUUGAGCAUCGCCGUCUACUC